rnacentral:rRNA from 1 species
AGGUCAAGUGAAGAAGGGCGCACGGUGAAUGCCUUGGCACUGGAAGCCGAUGAAGGACGCGACUAACCGCGAAAGUCUUCGGGGAGCCGUAAGUAGGCUUUGAUCCGGAGGUCUCCGAAUGGGGGAACCCAGCAUGUGCAGACAUGCUAUCCUUAAGUGAAUACAUAGCUUAAGGAGGGAACACGCAGUGAACUGAAACAUCUAAGUAGCUGCAGGAAGAGAAAGAAAUAUCGAUUUCCCAAGUAGCGGCGAGCGAACAGGAAAGAGCCCAAACCGGCAGAUUUAUCUUCCGGGGUUGUAGGACUGAGACAUGGCACUUCAGAGGAUAGCAGAAGCGUUUGGGAAAGCGCGCCAGAGAGGGUGAGAGCCCCGUAAGCGAAAUCCAAAGAAGGCCUAUCAGUAUCCUGAGUAGGGCGGGACACGUGAAAUCCCGUUUGAAUCCGCGAGGACCAUCUCGCAAGGCUAAAUACUAACCAGUGACCGAUAGUGAACCAGUACCGUGAGGGAAAGGUGAAAAGAACCCCGGGAGGGGAGUGAAAGAGAACCUGAAACCGUGUGCCUACAAGUAGUCAGAGCCCGUUAACGGGUAAUGGCGUGCCUUUUGUAGAAUGAACCGGCGAGUUGCGUUAGUCAGCAAGGUUAAGUCAGAAAAGA